CACUGAUGGCAUUACAUCAAGUAUAGAUUCCUGCACUAAAGCCUGCUCUCCAGAUCAGCAGACUAAAGAAAAAAACCAAAGCAAGAGAGACUACAUAUGAACUGUAGUGCAUACUAGAGUGGCAUUAUCUCAAAUACUGGAGUUGUGGUACACUUGCCAAAGGAACAAGCAAGGGGAAAGGAGCAAGAACCUUCAUGUUGCAGCAAGGUAGCAGACGAGAAGGAACUGAAAGGGAAGGCACUCUCCUGCCUAUCUGAAUGGGUGCUCCCUCGCAUCUCAGAAUGCUGGAGAGCACCUAUUGGAGCUAGAGAUUCCUUCGUGGAGCUACUGAGCAGGUGCAGAAGACCCAGUUUUGAGGGAACAUGGAUAACCUCAGAGAUCUAUGAAUUAUGUACAUAUUGCCACAGAGCAGUGGGACGGAUAGACAUUUAGAUUACCAAAGAGCUAGUUUUGAUGAUGGAGAAAAUACUGCUGAGAAUCCCAGAGCAGAUAAGCAACUCUUUUUGCUGUCUCAGGUGAAGAUGAAUAUGAUGAAGAACCACAGAUGAGGAAAAGAAGUUGAGACACACAGCCUAAGUUCAUCGCACUAUUUUUUUGGUUACCACAACGUCUUGCAACAUGAUAUACUGGAACAAUAUCCACAGAUAAACCUUACAGGCACUCUGCCUCAGGACUCAGAUACAAACAACCAAUCAAAACUUGCACCCCGCCCCAACUGGGGAUGCAAGGAUUCAUCUCACAAAGGAGGACAUCAGGCCCAGGAGGUGUUAAAUCUUUUAAGCCUGUUGAAUAGGCUGCGCAGUAAAAAGCUGGAUUAGUUCCCAGAUGGAUUGGAAUAUUUCCUGCGACUGCUGACCAAGAUGUUGUCACAAUGAGCUCCACAACACAUAGGAAAAUCUCUAUGAUGACAGCAGUUCCUUGAAAUGAGACACCAAAGGAGAUAUCCUGCAGCAGACUGAACUCUAAAUCCCACUACUGGAGGGAAGUUGUUAUUUUUUUUAAUUAUUAUUAUUAUUAUUAUUA